GGAGAGGUGCUGGAGGGGCCGAACAGGGCUGACUGCUAAUCAGUUUCACCCCAAAAGGGUGACGGGGGUUCGAAUCCCCCCCUCUCCGCCA
rnacentral:tRNA from 1 species